GACGAACGCUGGCGGCGUGCUUAACACAUGCAAGUCGAACGGAAAGGCCCUGCUUUUGUGGGGUGCUCGAGUGGCGAACGGGUGAGUAACACGUGAGUAACCUGCCCUUGACUUUGGGUUAACUUCAGGAAACUGGGGCUAAUACCCGAUCGGAGCUCCUGCUGCAUGGUGGGGGUUGGAAAGUUUCGGCGGUUGGGGAUGGACUCGCGGCUUAUCAGCUUGUUGGUGGGGUAGUGGCUUACCAAGGCUUUGACGGGUAGCCGGCCUGAGAGGGUGACCGGCGACAUUGCGACUGCGAUACGGCCCAGAGUGCUACGGGAGGCAGCAGUGGAGAAUAUGGCACAAUGGGCCGAAGUCUGAGGCAGCAACGCCGCGGGCGGGAUGACGGCCUGCGGGUUGUAAACCGCUUUCGCCUGUGACGAAGCGUGAGUGACGGUAAUGGGUAAAGAAGCACCGGCUAACUACGUG
rnacentral:rRNA from 1 species